rnacentral:rRNA from 1 species
GUGGGUUGUACCAGAAGUAGAUAGCUUAACUGAAAGGGGGGCGUUUACCACGGUAUGAUUCAUGACUGGGGUGAAGUCGUAACAAGGUAACCGUAGGGGAACCUGCGGUUGGAUCACCUCCUUA